CGUACGAAAAAAAUUACAAAAGUGCGGCGCACAAAAAACAAUCGGAUGCAUAAAGCCGUGAGCACGCACAUGGCUGCGCACCUUUCCUUUAUAAAUUCUAAUUUGCGGGAAAUAGAGCGCAGCUAUUCGUGCGCUUUGGCGCACGGACCAAUGCGUUACAUCUUUAUGAGACAAAAACUGAGGAAUUUUUUUACAUUCGAGUGAGGUUUUACAUCCUUUUGUUUUGGUUUUCUUUAUUUUGUGUGCAUGUUAGUUUAUUGUGUCAGGACAAACGCGGUUCAGUUUUGUCGUUUACGUUGAAACAAAAUAUUAAAAUCAUUAAAAAAAAACAUCGGGUUUGAUGCUUCUUGGUCUAAAAAACACUAAAUGUAGUCAGAUUUCAGUGUAUCUAGGUGAGUUUUGACGCUUUGUAGUUUGAUAUUGUCCACGGAAUAAGUUUGCGUGGCUCCCGCACAUCUUCACGGCAGGUCAGAAGUUUGCGUAUAUUUACGCAUACUUUCACGCCACGUUUUUUUUUUUUAUAUACAUGCCGACUUGUGCGUAAAAUGUGGCGUACGCAAACUUUAUACUUGAGGCCCCUGAUCUGGUCUUACUAGAAAGGCUGAUAAAAUAACCUUAACUCCAGUCUACCAGAACAUUCUAGACCUAUUCAUGAUUCCUCUGCUGAUAAGCUGGAUGGGGAUGCUGAUUUGAUUUUUUUUAGAAGGACUUGGCACCUGCUCAGACUGCCAAAGGUACAAAAAAGCUGCUACAAUGACCACAAUGUUCCUGUUCUGGGUGGCCAACAAACACCAACUUUAAUCCCAGAGAGAAUCUAUGGGCUAUUGUCAAUAGAAAGAUGAUCUGAAGGCAGUUAUCAGAGCAAUUGGAGUUUGCCUAUGCAGAACCGCAGGCUGAUCACCUCCAUGCCAUGGUGCAUUUGAGCAUUAGGCCCAAACAACACCUGAGUAAAUGGAGAUUAACAGAUUUUCCUGCCUGACAUUCAUCCUUAAAAACUAAUUUUUGAUUGCAGAAUUCAGGGUCUCAGAAAAUUAGAAUAUCAUAUUAGACCAGCGUGUUCAACCCUGGACAGGAAACUGAGGUACGGCGUUGUAAACAGAGGUUUCUAUGCAAAACAUUAACUUCUAUUUUUCUAUUGUAUCAAAUAGUUUUUUUAAUGUCUGUUUAGGUUUAUUACAUUGUUUUUAGACAGAAUAAUUUAAAGAACAGUGUAUCAAAUACCUGUUUUUUCUCAAGUAUCUUAGCUGUAAACCAUAAUUAAAAUCAGAAAUAAAUCUCAGAAAUAUAUUGCUCUGUGUGACGAGUCAGCAGGGUUUCCCUUUAUGAACUGAAUUUAUGGCAUUAAUUGAAAUUACAGUAACAGAUGAGGAUGUUUCCUUAGUAUAAGAACAACAUUCCCCUCCCACAAAAAAAUCUUGCAAUCUUUCUAAAUUUUUGCAUGGGAAAUUUCCAGCUCUUUAAAUAAAUUCUUCUCAGAUUUAACAUGAAUUAUUUUCUUGAUUUUUCUAAGUAUGUGAAGAACAUCAAUAAUAGAUUUAUUUCUAAGGAAAAAAAUAAUCAAAUGAACACCAUUCCCCCUUUUCCUUUUAAUUUAUGUUGUCAGUGUUUUCUUUUGGGGCUUUCCCCAUACAAAACCAUGGACAAAGAAAUCUGUACAAUGGCAAAUGAUCUGGAACCACAUCAUAACUCAGGAAAAUCAAACUCUAAAACUGGAGAAAAGAAAAACAACAGAACAGCAUUCCAGUCUUUAUCACAAAACAGAUUUAAUUUAAUAUCUCUUUAUUUUUUUUAAAAUAAUUAAACAUUUGUAUUCUUCCAACCCUUUUGAUAUUUUUUUUUCAGAUUUUAAAUCAUAUUACAUCUGGGCCAUUCUACACCACACAUCAAUUCUGUAAGGGAGGAAGGGGUCGUGUUGGGGCGGAUCACUCUCAGGUCCCAACAGUUAAACGCAAUCUCCUCCAAGCUUCCUCAUCACAUUUAACCCCACGCCACCCUACCCCAGCCCAUCCCGAGCUCUGAGCUCAUGUCUAGCUGCCCCACUCAAACUCUUGCCCCUUCCCCCUCAAAAAAAAAAAAAAAAAA